AGGGUCCAUGAGCCCCAAGCGGAGAUUCCAUCUAAACCCCUGCUUUAGAUGCGGGCACUGCAGAGCCACUCCAAGUCAUUUGUUCCAAGACCAUGUGUUAAAAUAAGCCUAUUUGUUGAGUGGCAUGAGGUUAAAGUUAGUGUCUUAUUUAUGUUUGUGUCACUGGUACCCAACUAGCACAUAGCAUAUGGUAGGAGCACAGUGAACAUAGCAGGGAUAUACAUGCAGUGUUCGAGAUGCUGGCAGGGUGUGAACAGGGUACCAGAACGUGGGCUUUAUGUAGGAUUAGAGUUAGAAGCAUUAGCAGCUGAAAAAUGGCAGGAAAAUGAUGAAAUCUGCAUGAUGGAAAAAGGGGGUCAGAGAUCUAAAGUCUAGAUGAAUGCAGAAAACAGAGCACUCAGGAAUAAGCUUCUGCUCACCACUCCUGGAGAAGUGUGACAUACAUGCAAACUUCUGCACAUCUGGGACUGAAGAAGUAGAUCUUUCACCUUAAAAUUACCCACUGAUAUCCACUGGGAGAGAGAACUCUCUCUGAUUUGAUGCUCAGCAAGAGUGACUCUCAUCUCCAGGAUUGCUGGUGGGAGGUCAAGUCUUCCUCCCCAGGAUGCUGCACUUGGAUGGACUUGAAAGAGUUCUGUUUGUUCCAAGUUGCGAUCUCAUAUUCACUCUGGGCCAGACCAACUACACAACUCCUUAAUUCUUCAGUUGGCCGGGAGUGAGGUUCCAGGAUGCCACAGCCCUGGGCAAUGAAGACAACAAGUUCAUCUUGAAUAGAUGGAUCUGAUUCACCUGACCUUAGGAGGAAUACACUGAAUUAUUUUUCAUGCUAGAGCAUAUUCCCAGGGCGCUGGGGCAGAGACCACGUCCUAAACCCAACUCAAAUGUGGGCUGUGCUCUUGGCUGAAGAAAAGCAUGGAAAGCAGUUGGGGACCUGCAUCCCCAAGACUGUCAGCCCUUCUCCAGGGCUAGCAACAAGCAGAGUGUAGCAGUGAGAAGAUGCUCUUGGCAGGCUCCAGAUAGCUGUGCCCUCAGCCCAGGAGGACUCAGCCAAUGAAGACUCAGCUAAUGAAAGCUCAGCAUGGAGGUGGCAAAGGGCUGCAGCCCCACCAAACUCUUUGCCUCCAGGCGCUGUGGUGGUGAAGAACUGAAAUACACAAACCUUGGGGCUUCCCCUUGUCCCUGAAACUGCAGAAGAUGCUGGCUCGGGAGAGCCCAGGUGAGAAAGCUGCUGCAGGAGCCAGAAACUUUGGCAAAGACUCUUUCUUUGCAAGUAAGAAAGCUAGUUGGGAAAGAGGACCAACUGUUCCUUCUAAAUUCCCAGGGAGUGGAGGGUACGUGAGGCCCUGUGAUUCAUUGGCCAGGAGUAUCUGCUCCAGCUGCCAGGCCAGAGUGAUCAAUCCAAAAGUGCUUCUGAAAAUGAGGCCAGACCCACAUUAAUGAAGCCUGAUUGCCUCAGAA
rnacentral:lncRNA from 1 species